rnacentral:rRNA from 1 species
UACAGAGGGUGCAAGCGUUAAUCGGAUUUACUGGGCGUAAAGCGUGCGCAGGUGGUUUCGUAAGUCGGAUGUGAAAGCCCCGGGCUCAACCUGGGAACUGCAUUCGAUACUGCGAGACUCGAGUUUGGUAGAGGGUGGCGGAAUUCCCGGUGUAGCGGUGAAAUGCGUAGAUAUCGGGAGGAACAUCAAUGGCGAAGGCAGCCACCUGGGCCUGAACUGACACUGAGGCACGAAAGCGUGGGUAGCAAACAGG